UUUUGAGUCUUUGGGCGUGUCCAACAGUGGGCUUCGCAUCCUCCCAACCUAUUCUAGGGAAAUAACCUUUCAGAUCGUUUCCAGCCCUUCUCAGAUCCGGGUGCACAGCAGCGCCUGGGCGUGGCCGCGUAGACCAGGCAGACACUGCUGACCCCAGGGGCCACCGGCCCCGCUGUCCCUCACCAGGCCCGCGCACCGAGAGUGACGGUGGUCAGCAAGCCAGGCCGACGCCACCCGCCAGUCCUCAGCCCCGCCGGCAGCGGUGACAGCGCCCGCCGGACCUCAAGGGCGUCUCCGGGCGGUCCCCGCCGAACCGGCCGGCAAAGCGCACCUGCAGCUCUCGCCAGGUCAGUGGAACUGCCCGAAGACACUUCCCGCGGCCCGGGGAAACUCGAGAACCGCCACCAACGGGGGCCCAGCCCCACUGCAACCCCGUUCACCCCGCUCCCCUUUCCCAGUCACUGCCCACCUCACCUCGGGAUCUCAGAGACCACUGAACCUGGUCGCAGACACUCCGUCUGUCUCCAGUCAAUGGAGACGCGAAGCGGAACGAACGCUGGGCCUACGCACGCUUAGAGAUACGAGUCUGCGACCAAUCAGAAAGGAUCGUCCGAUUGCCUAACCAAUCAUUGUGCUGCUGCUCUGCCUGACAGCCUACGUCACGAACAGUCGCCUUAACAACCGCCCACACCUCUCACCCUGGCGGAGAACCGGUACCGCACCAUCUCUCACCACAGCUCAGCCAACCAAUAGCCAGCCGAGUACCGGCGCCAGGGCCCGCCUAUUGGCCCGCGAGCCGCGGGGGCGCACGCGUGGAAGCGGUUUAGGCUCGGUGAUAGGGGAGAACGAGUGGAGUGGCCCGCCGCUCGGGACCUGACCUGCGGUCUUCCCGCCUCUGAGGGGACUCUGAGGGGGCGGUGGUAGGAAGCGGGACUGGACCUCGAGAACGAACCCCGGCUUAGGCUGAGGACAGAAAGCUGUUAUCUUAGGGGCGACAGAUGAGGGAAGUAGAGAUGGUCCUGCAAAAUGAGGAACACGAGCAGGGUGGUGUCGGCCGGGUGCCUCGCGACAGAGGCCUCACUCACCCUGCAGUGCAGGCGCCCGGGUCGCCAUCCGUGUCUCCCCGGCGCUUGCCGCUGCGUCCUCUCUGCGGUCCCUCCGCUCUCCGACCGGUGCAGGCUAGUGUCAUCUCACCUUUCCUGCCUGUCCCCCCACGUGCCCUCAGGAGUCGCUCCGGUCUGCUGGGCUCGCUCCAUCCCACAACCCUAGGUUCUCAACUCUUAAUUCGGUGAAGAAAACUGAAGUCGACUAGCCAAAGAUUGCAAACUCAUCAGAAGCAAAGUAAAAGAAGGAAAGAAAAGGAAGUAGAGAAGGAAAAAGGAAAGAGUAUUUCCCCAUACCUCUCCUUAGGAGCUUCUGCAGCUUCACAGAAACAGUUGGAGAGCAGCUGACUCAGACAGGUUUCUAACUAUAAAAAUCUCCUGAUGGAAAAACCAGAAGGAAGUGAUGAUGGUGGGGAGAACAAGCUGGAUAAGGUCUCAGCAAGCAAAUAUGAGACAAGACACCCUCUUUAGCUCUCCUGAGCAACCCUAAUGGAGAAGUGAAACAGCAAUUGUUCAUGGCAGUACACAUGCAGGCAAGAUUUUAAUACAGCACCACUGUCACUUACAGUAUCCUACUCCCUUGCUAAGAAGAGGUUUAUUAACAAAAUUGGAGGCAAGUCUCAAAUUCCAGCUAAGGCCAAAAUGGAGUUUACUUGCUGGGACUACAGGAGUUCUCCCUGACCAAAUUAGCCAACAGCUGGCUGAGGAGUGGGCUGGUUGUGGUGUUGGAGAUGGAAUCCAAGGCCUUGUGCAUACUAGGCAACCACUCUAUCACUGAGCUACACCUUAGACCCAUGGCAGUGAACCUAUGGCAACCGUGCCAAAGUGGGCUAUUUGUAUCAUUGAAAGAUCUAAAAGAAAUGAAAAUAAUGCAAGCUGUGUGUGGUGGCGCACACCUAUAAUCCCAGCACUUGGGAGGUUGAGGCAGGAGGAUGGCCAUGAGUUUGAGACCAGCCUGGACUACACAAUGAGACCCUGUCUCAGAAGAAAAUAAAGGAAGAAAAGAAAUGAAAAUUAUGGGAAUGAAGGGGUCAUCUCAUGUACAGAUAAGAAUUCAGGAUGAAGAGGUGAUGCGCCAGGAAGCAAUGUUAAAGGGAGGGACUUCUGGGAAGAUGGCAGAAUGGUAAGCAGUCACAAAGCAGCCUCUCCAAGAUUCAGAAUGCAGACACUGGAAAACCUUAGAAAGAAAAGAAGAAGAGAGGUGGAUCUCCGGGACCCAGGAAGAAUCUGGAGGGAAAAUUGGAGCCUGCAGAGAAAUUGAAGAAACUGACCACAAUGCAGAAAAAGGAAGGGGAAAUCUGCACUCUCUCCCAGCUCUUGGCUCAUGAGAAGGGAAGAUUGACUCUACAGAGACAUAGUGGAAGUGGGGAACUCCAGAGGCCUUCAGGAAGAAAUGCACUAGUGGAACAGAGCAGUGGAUGCUGUGUGCUACAACAGUUGGGCCUCACCAGUCACCUGUGAUGUUCCUGCCCCAGCCUUCCAGAGUGUUGGGAUCUCAGGUGUGCAUCCCAUCCCUGGCUAUUGCUUCUUAACUCAGAUGUGCUUGUGAUGCACCAUGAACAUUCCUCUCUAUUAGUGAAAGUCUCUCAUUAAUGGAUACCCAGUUGUUCCAGCACCUUGUGUUUAAAAAAAAGUGUUCUAUUGGGCUGGAGACUUAGCUCAGUUUUCCCAAAUGGAACUAGGCUGAUCUCAUCGGAGAAGGAACGUGGG
ensembl:lncRNA